rnacentral:rRNA from 1 species
UAACGAAGGGGGGCUAGCGUUGCUCGGAAUCACUGGGCGUAAAGCGCACGUAGGCGGGUCUUAAGUCAGGGGUGAAAUCCCGGAGCUCAACUCCGGAACUGCCUUUGAUACUGGAGAUCUUGAGUCCGGGAGAGGUGAGUGGAACUCCGAGUGUAGAGGUGAAAAUUCGUAGAUAUUCGGAAGAACACCAGUGGCGAAGGCGGCUCACUGGCCCCGGUACUGACGCUGAGGUGCGAAAGCGUGGGGAGCAAACA